rnacentral:rRNA from 1 species
GACGAACGCUGGCGGCGUGCUUAACACAUGCAAGUCGAGCGGUAAGGCCCUUUCGGGGGUACACGAGCGGCGAACGGGUGAGUAACACGUGGGUGACCUGCCCUCAGCUCUGGGAUAAGCUUGGGAAACUGGGUCUAGUACCGGAUAUGACUCCAUGACGCAUGUUGUGGGGUGGAAAGCCUUGUGCGGCUGAGGAUGGGCCCGCGGCCUAUCAGCUUGUUGGUGGGGUGANGGGCCUACCAAGGCGACGACGGGUAGCCGGCCUGAGAGGGCGACCGGCCACACUGGGACUGAGACACGGCCCAGACUCCUACGGGAGGCAGCAGUGGGGAAUCUUGCGCAAUGGGCGAAAGCCUGACGCAGCGACGCCGCGUGAGGGAUGACGGCCUGGU